rnacentral:lncRNA from 1 species
GCAGGCUCACACCCUGCCCUUCAGAGUUGCAGCAGCUAAUGCUGAUGCCAGGACCUUGUCCUGCCAGGAAGCCUCUGAUUAGGGCUGUGAACCAACUUCCUUUUCACAUCUGCAAGGACACUUGGAGGCAACUGCCCAAGGCCACUCUGAGGAGGGUUGAAUGUUCUUUAUUAAAAGGACUGAGGAUCAUGUGUGUUGGUGGGCCUUGGACUCUGCUCUAAGCUCAAAUUUUGCAGUUUCUGCUGUCAUCACAGCUGGGAAUGAGAAAGGGAAGGGGCUCCAGUUGGUCUCCCUCUGCCUCUGGAGCACACGUGGAGGACAUGAGGCUUCCGCAGGAACAGCUCUGAAAGCUGAGUUCUCGGGUCCCUGUGAAGGAGGGAAGCUUGCCUGCCUUGGAGCGUGAAAAAGUCUUGCUGGACAGAAGUCUCACGGUUUAAAACUGGGAAGGGAGAGGAUUGAGAUCACACUAGAAUGCACAGAAAAUUCUUAAAACAAAAAAAUGAGAGAAACUUCAUCAGAAUGUGAAAAGAACUAUAAAGCUACAGUGCUGAAGAGAGGGCAAUACUGGCACUAGAAUGAGAAGAUUCAUGGAACACAGUGGAAAAUGCAGUAAGAGAGCUGCAUACACAUGGAGGCAACCACUCAAGGCCACUCUGAGAAGGGUUGAACGUGCUUUAAAUUAAAAGGACUGAGGAUCAUGUGUGUUGGUGUGUCUUGGACUCUGCUCUAAGACUCAUGGAGGCAACCACUCAAGGUCACUCUGAGAAGGGUUGAACGUGCUUUAUUAAAAGGACUGAGGAUCAUGUGUGUUGGUGUGUCCCGGAGUCUGCUCUAAGGCCCUGUGGCUGCCUGGUGCCCUGGGAAUGGUCCGGUCAUGGGCCUCAGCCCAGGAUGAGCAGCCAACAAUGCAAUCCCACGAAGAGUGUGCGGAAGGGAGAGGUUACUUCUCAAGAUGGAGCUGCCAAAUAGGGACACUUUGGAGAGUCUGGCCUGAGAACUUUUAGUUUCAAGAAUGUAUUGCUUUGGAAAAGACAGAAUAAAAGUCCAAGCACUGCCACUUAGAGGUUGUAUGUCCUUGGGAAAGUCACUGUACUUGGCAAUUAUAACCUUUACCCUGGAUACACCAUUCAUCUCCUGGGGCCAGGGGUUGUGCCACCUUGUUCAUUUCUAAACUAAAUGAUAUCUAAGCUAGUCUUUACCACAGUUUAAUUCUUACAAUAAUACUCCAAAGGAGAUAUAAUCAACCACAUUUCACAGAUGAGAGAGUUGGAAUCUUAAAAAGGUUAAACUCUUCGAGGUCAUUUGACGAAUAAAUAAUGGAGCCUGGAUUUCAACUGAAGUCUAACAAAUUCCAAAAUCCUGGCUACCGGCCAUUUAUAUUCGUGUGUGUGUGUAUAUAUAUAUAUAUAAAUUAUAUAACAUAUAUACAUAUAUCAUAUGUAUAUAUAUUAUAUAUAUUUCUUUUUAAGUUAUAAAGUAUAAGAGACCAUGAAGAAAAUUUCAGAAAGAUUUUAGAAACUCAAGGGUCACUCUCAGCUGCCAGUAAGAAAACAACCUAAGAUACUGUUGAAUAGUAUUCAUUCAGUUAAUUAUGGUGGACCUCAAAAAGUCAUAGGAAUUUCCUCUAGCACUGUUAAGUAAAUAGUUAAUGGCCUUUUAUUAAAAGACUAAUUUUUAAAGUCAUAGCAGAAAUUCUUGAUCCAUUAAAUGAUAGCAAAUACCCUUUGAGUGUCAAACAUUGUAUAUAUUUAUUCUUUUCUUGCAAGCAGAAAAUAGGUGUUACUUAUCCCCAUUUUUCAGAUGAAAUUGAAGCUUACAGAGAGGUUAAAUAACUCCUCGAGGUCACCUAGCUAAUAAACAGCACACCAAGAAUUUGAACCAAACAGACAAGUCUCCAGAGCCUGUACCAUAAGGGAACUGCUUGGCUGUUUAUGAUUCAGGGAUUAAUUUCUGUCUUCAUGAAGCUGCUGCAUUUUGAUACAAAAUGUUAUAUUUCCGAUUUGAUUUCAACUCCCAGCUUCAUGCUUUAAAAGAAGUAGUGUUUUGACUGCAUUUAGUUAUUUGUACAAACCUGUAGCACCCCCUCCUGGCCAUUCGAGGUAUACCAUACAUGUUAUAUUACCCCAAUAUUAGACCCCAACGAAUGGCAAAGACUUCGUAUAACGAAUGGAAAGGUCCCCAAAUGCAAGGCAGGUUCCAACUGCACACCUUAUGUGCUUGAUAGUUUUAGGCAAGAGACUCCUUCUUGCAGGGCUGUCAUUUCCCCCGCCUCAAAAUCAGAGGAGUGGGUGAUGUUUUUGGUCUCUUCUAGUUCUAAUUGUGAUUCUGAAUUGAAUUGAUAAACUGGAUAUUGAAGGAAUAGGUGUGGUGAAAUGAAAAAUGGAAGCUUCUAGUUUUUAUUUUGAUCCAACAAUAAUGCAUGUUAUUUGCUUCCUCUUGACUCAACAUUGCUCUAGGAAAAGCCUAUUCUAUAUAGACUCCUUAACAAAAACAUUGAUUCCUAAAGGUCUUCUGAAUGUUUGGAUAGCCAAUGGCUUUGCAGCCCAGCCUGGCCACUACAUGAGGCCGAUGACUUUAACAAACUUAUUUCAGGCCAGUGUAAAUGCAGUGUUCAAAAAUCCCACCUAAGAAGGAUGGGAACACGGAGGUUUGUGUAGGUAACAUGCAGGUGUGUGCACAUGUACCCAAGAAUGCACACACACAUACAUGGACACAACUGCAAUUGAUACAAAAGGCUGAACUGUGCUGAUUCUUACAGGUACUUGGUUCUGGCCCAGUCUGGAAAAAAAGAAAAGAUCCUUAGUCUAAACAUGCAUACAAAAUAGAAUUCCCACCAUGCUUUGAUGUUAUCUAUUUAUAAUUUUCAAUGUUUCAAUGUUUUGUGGUCUUAAAAAUUACAAGGAUUAUUAUCAAUAAUCCUUGUACCUAAUGUGCCUUGACUCUGAAGGACAUGGUAACUGCCUGUGGUUUAGAAAAUGUUUUGGCUAAAAGACAAGUUCUCCUCCCUCCUCUCAUUUUUAUAUCACAGAGCUGCACGGGGGCUUGGAUCAAUGCCUGAAUCCAGUGUUCCUGAGUGCAGAGCAUCUUUGCUCUGGGUGAGCUUUGACCAUCCUGGAGAAGAAGGCUGCUGCGGGGGUGGGACAAAGCCAAGACCAAUGCCCAGCGGCCAAGGCCAGCCAGAUGGCUCUGUGCUGGCAGCCAGUGUACACGGAUUUUACCUGAAGGAAAAUGUCACAUUUUCCACAGACAACUGAAGAAAGAGAGCUCUUUGGAUUACCCUAAUUGUGAUUUACUCAUUGGAACCACUGUUUUGGAUUGUCCAAAAUUAAGUCUCAAAGCUUAAAUAUGAGGCUUCAGGGAGUUAUCCUGAAAUCAGUGCUUGGUAUCUUCUUGUUUUUUGCUUGUUUUUUAAAACCUUAAUUCUCAUAUUUUUCUGUCAUAUUUCUCAGUGCCUGGUACAUUAUCACCAUUAAUCCAUGCCAGUUAUGUACAGUUUUGCAUGUUUGUUUUUUAUUUUACUCUUUUCUCUCCUUCAUUCCCUAUUCCUGUUCCCCCAUAGGUGCCCAGUCUAAUGUAUUUGAUAUCUGUCCUUAGAGCCUCCGUAUCUGUGAAGACUAGAGUCAUGCACUUCAUCACAUUUCAGUAACGAUGGGCCGCAUGUACCACAGUCCCAUGAGAUGAUAGAGGUGCAGAAAAAUUCCUGUCAUCUAGUGACAUCGUAGCCAUCAUAACAUCACAACACGACUCUCAUUUGUGGUGACCCUGGUGUACACAAACCUACUGUACUGCCAGUUGUAUAAAAGUCUAGCACAUCCAGCUACGCACAGUACAUACUUGAAAAUUAUAAUAAAUGACCAUGUUACUGGUUUAUGUAAUUACUAUAUUAUACUUUUUAAUCAUUAUUUUAGAGUGUACAACUUCUACUUGUAAAAAAAAAAAAAGUUAACUGUAAAACAGCCUCAGGCAGGCCCUUCAGUAGGAAUUCCAGAAGAAGGCACUGUUGUCCUAGGAGAUGACAGCUCCAUGUGUGUUACUGCCCUGAUGACCCUCCGUGGGUACAAGAUGUGGAGCUGGACUACAGUGAUAUUGAAGAUCUCGACCCUGUAGGCCUAGGCUAAUGUGUGGCUGUGUCUUGAUUUUUAGCAAAAAUGUUUUAAAAGUGAAAAUGUUAAAAAUAGAAAACAGUUUAUAGAAUAAGGAUAUAAAGAAAAUAUUUUGUACAGCUGUAUAAUUUUUUUUUGUUUUUCUUUUCCUUUUUCUUUUUUUUUUUUGAGACGGAGUCUUGCUCUGUCGCCCAGCUGGAGUGCAGUGGUGUGAUCUCGGCUCACUGCAACCUCUGCCUCCUGGGGUCAAGCGACUCUUCUGCCUCAGCCUCCUGAGUGGCUGGGACUACCGGCAAGUGCCACCAUGCCUGGCUAAUUUUUGUAUUUUUUGUGGAGAUUUUCACCAUCUUGGCCAGGCUGGUCUUGAACUCCUGACCUGGUGAUCCACCCGCCUUGGCCUCCCAAAGUGGUGGGGUUACAGGCGUGAACUACAGGGCCUGGCCUGUUUGUGUUUUAAGCUAAGUGUUGUUAGGAGUCAAAAAGUUAAAAAAUAAAAGUUGCUAAAGUAAAAAAGUUACAGUCAGCAAAAGCUAAUUUAUUAAUGAAGAAAGAAAUGUAUGUUUUGAUCAAUUUAGUGUAGCCUAAGUGUCCAGUGUUUAUAGUCUACAGGAGUGUACAGGAACGUCCUAGGUCUUCACAUCCUCUCACCACUCACUCAUUGACUCACUCACCCAGAGUAGCUUCCAGACCUGCAAGCUCCAUUCAUGGUAACUCCCCUAUACAGGUGUUACAGUACUUAAAAUUUUAUAUCCUAUUUUUACUGUAGGUUGUCUCUGUCUAGAUAUAUUUGGAUACACACAUACUUACCAAUGUGUUACAGUUGCCUGCAGCACUCAGUACAGUAACAUGCUGCACAGCUUUGUAACCUAGAAACAACAGGCUACACCUAUAGCCUCUGUGUAGUAGGCUGUGCCAUCUGGGUUUGUGUUCUACAACGUUGCAUUCUACAAUGUUCACACAAGGAUGAAAUCGCCUAAGGACACAUUUCUCAGAAUGCUUCCUCAUUGUCAAGCAAUGCAUGACUGUAUAUAGAAUUGUUCAUAAAUACUGUGUUUUUCAUCCAUGUAAAUGGCAUGCCAUUUCUACCUAUCCACGUCUGCACACCAGCUCAUGCCCCUCAUUCAUGCUCCUUUCUGCUGCUCACCGCUCCACAGCUGGCAGCCCCUGCAUUCCAUCCAUCCAUUCCCCCAAACAUGGGCAUGUUGCUAUCAGCAGGGAGCUGUGAUGGACCCCUCACAGGGUCCUCUUAUUCCUCGUGCAAGCCUUUCCCUGGGAAGUUCCUCCCAGCAUUGCUGGUCAGGGGGAACACACACUCACAUCUUCACUAAAUGCUACCAGUGCUAUGGUGUUAUCAGAAACUUUAUUUAUUUAUUUUUUGCCAAUAUGAUAGCUAUCAAGCUACCCCAUCUCUACUAAAAAUACAAAAUUAGGCCUUUAGUAGAAACCCUGUCUCUAGUAAAAAUACAAAAAUUAGCUGGGCAUGGUGGCACACACCUGUAAUACCAGCUACUUGGUGGCUGAGGCAGGAGAAUUGCUUGAACCCAGGAGGCAGAAGCUGCAGUGAGCCAAGAUCGCACCACUGCACUCUAGCCUGGGCAACAGAGAACCUGUCUUAAAAACAAAAACAAAAAAAAUGGCACAGGUCUGAUUAUUAGGAAGCUGAGGUUCUUUUUUAUACUUAGUAUUCACUGAAGUGUGAAUUACCUUUCAUGUCCUCUAAACAUACCAACAAGGAGGCUGGAGUUAGGACUUAUGUUAGAGCCAGCCUGCCUGGGGCACAGCCUGGCCCUGCCAUUUAUUGACUGUGUGACUUUGAGAAAGCUUCCUCAUGUAACUCUAUCUUAGCUUCCCUGCCUGUAAUAAGUAAAAACAGCAACUACCUCAUAGAUUUGUAAAGAUUACAUAAAAUAAUACAUGCAAUGCAUGGCAAACGACAGUCAACGAAUGUUAUUAUUAUAUUAAC